UCUUGACAUUGCACCAUUGUUGACGCUUCAAGUAGCUAGCAGAAAUAGAGACCGAUCACCUUUCCAGAGCUCAGAAAACAUUUUCUCUUUCUUUCUCUUCCAAAUCUCUGACUCCAGUCCCGUCGUAGUGUAUCACCUGAUGAAUGAAACCGUGGUAGUGUGUUAAGGAGUUGUGCAAAAAGCCAUGGCCUUUAAACCCUAGCAACAAAAAGCAUCCAAAUCGUUAGGGUUUAUUUCUUCCGUUGAUAUUCAAUAACUUUAAAAGGUUCUUCAAAGAUGUCGAAAUCCAAGAGAGAUCCAGUAGUGACGUCAAAAAAAAAAAAAAAAAGGAAUGGAUCAUAAAGAGAACAUAGUGACCAGCUUUGAGAACAUGAGGAAUCUCAAGUUUAAGCAGCUCGGAUAGCAACUCAAAUCCACUAGCAGUUAAAAGUGCCUACUUGGAUUGGUGAUAAUGAAGAAGAAGAGUUUGUAGGCGUUGGUGCUUGAUUUGGUCCUACUUUGGAAAAGUGAGAAUAUGGAGAGUUCAAAGAUUGAGCAUGCAAAGAGGGUGGAACAAUUGAGGAAAAUGGAGCUUAAGAGGGCUGAUUAUAUAAGACUGAGAAAGCAAAAAAAGAGGUUGAGAAGUUGGAGUCUAUAAUGAUGGUUUCUUCGCAGGCGAUCGAGUCAACGUCGGAUGAAAUAGUCAAACUCCGAGAGGAAGAGCCGCAACUUGUUGAGCUUGUUAAAGGACUAAAGAAACGUCGGUCCUACAUGAGCUUGGUCUCUGCUUGGCUCACGGCUUUUCUGAUGGGAAGAUCACAGUUCAUACAAACAAGUCAGAUGGUGGGUGGGACACCACACGGAUCCCCCAGGCUCAUCCAAUUUGAGUCACAUCGGUUUCAUCGGCUCCGCCAAUGGCUCCUUGGGCUCUGGUUGGAUCUGGUACUUUUGAACCUGUACAAAAGCAGGCUUCUGGUGGGUGUGAUAACACAGUUAAACUUUGGGUAAUGAAUAUCGAUUUCGUACAUUCAUAGUAAUUUGAUGUGCCCUUUGUUUGACGUUAGCUGCAGUUUGAGCCUCUAAACUGGGUCGGUUUAUCCAGCUCUUUUUUAUUUUUUAAUAUUUGUUUGUUCUUGCCUUAAUUAUGGUAGUUCGCUUUAUUCACUUAUUAAUGUUUGAUUAUUAUUUGUCAUCAGGUUGUCAACUUUGAAGCUUUCUUAGCCAAGGCUCACAAUUAAUUAGAUUAGAUAGAUGUUGUAGCUUUUUUCAUUGAUUUAAUCUUGGAGAUUUUGGCACAGGUAUUAGAUACAACUGAUGGCGAACCUUAGGGUCCACUUGGUACCGCAUUAGUAGAAAUUGCACACGCAACUAAAAAUUUGUAAAUAUGUAUAUCCAUGUAUAAAAAAAAACUUUUUUCAAUAGUAUCUUACUAAAGUGUAUUAGGUUGUCAAGAAACUGGUUGCUUUUGAGCAAAGUGGUAGUAUAGCGGAGUGCCUAAUGGUUGUGACUUUCUUUGUCAAAAAGGGGGUGGCUUGAUGUGCUUAGAAUUUGACUACACUUCCCACUGCAAUCAUACAUAUGUUUCAUUAUAUGUGUAUAUAUACACACACAACUUAUAUACCCUUAUUUUUUAAUUAUUUUUAGGUUUGAAUUAUGUUUCAGUUCUGCCAACUCCGCCGUAACGCGUGGGAAUAUCGGGUGAUAACGUAAAGAGUAUCGGGUGAUCCGUGGCAAGAUGAUUGGUAUUUUUUCACUCAAUUUCUUGUCAAGCUUUGGAAUGCCUUCGGUCAUCAUUCUGACCCGUUUCUAAACCGUACCGGGUUGUUUGUAUUAUAGGUUGUAUGUAGUGUUUGUAUUAUAGGUUCUAUGUAGUGCUUUUGUUGGAGAAUGCAGGGCCUGUUUUUAGAACCAAUGGAAGGUAUUUCAGAUGACAAAAACGCUCUUCUUUUUGGAAAUGGUAUAUUCAUUUUUAUAGCCUAAAGUUGGCAUGGAUAAGUGUUGUAAGUUGUUACCUCUGAUACUGUGGAAAUAACAGUU